rnacentral:rRNA from 1 species
GACGAACGCUGGCGGCGUGCUUAACACAUGCAAGUCGAACGGUGAAGGGAUCAGCUUGCUGGUUCUGGAUGAGUGGCGAACGGGUGAGUAACACGUGAGUAACCUGCCCCCUUCUUCUGGAUAACCGCAUGAAAGUGUGGCUAAUACGGGAUAUUCUGCGCCUGCUGCAUGGUGGGUGUGGGAAAGAUAUUGUUUCGGUGGGGGAUGGGCUCGCGGCCUAUCAGCUUGUUGGUGGGGUGAUGGCCUACCAAGGCGGUGACGGGUAGCCGGCCUGAGAGGGUGGACGGUCACACGGGGACUGAGACACGGCCCAGACUCCUACGGGAGGCAGCAGUGGGGAAGAUUGCACAAUGGGCGCAAGCCUGAUGCAGCGACGCCGCGUGAGGGAUGGAGGCCUUCGGGUUGUGAACCUCUUUCGCCAGUGAAGCAGGCCUGUCCCUUGUGGGUGGGUUGACGGUAGCUGGAUAAGAAGCGCCGGCUAACUACGUG